ACUAACUUAGAAACCAAAUUCCGCACAAACUCAAGGCACCAUCGUUCCUCUCCAAAUCUCGCAUAGACUCUAGGCUGCAAUCGCUCCUCUCCGUAUCCCGCACAUAGACAAAUCGUCACUCAUCUCCAAAUCCACACAAAGACAAGCUGUCGCCUUUCUCUUCUUAAAUCCCGCAAGGCCCUGCUCCGCGACGACGGCUAAACGAUGGACGAGACUUGAACAAUCUUUGAGUGCCUAUCAACAACGGCUCCCACGAUACAGGUUCGUGUCAAUCUCUAGUUUUCGUAAACACGCUUGUCUCAAACUUUGCGACGGGGAAAUCAAACACGACAACGAAGGAAUGUUGUAGCUCGGUGAGUGAUCCACAGUGCUUUCACGGAAGUUAUUUGAGCUUGGGGAUUCAGGGGAAUACUGCUAUAUUUUGACUUCAAUCUGUGUUUCUCUUUGUGCAUUUUGGCUUCUUCUAUCCAGGUAUGUUAAUCUUAAUUUUUAGGUUCAUUUCUUGGUGAUGACUGCAUAUAUUAGUUCUGCCUUGUUAAUAUGUUUGCUAGGAAAAUUUGAUGUUUAGAAAAUGUGAAAGAUUCAUCUUUAUUGUAUUAUUUAAAGUGCAUGAACCAUUCAAAGUCAAACUUGAGCUACUGUGUAAUGACCUGGUUAUUAGGUUUAUUUAGUGAUGUUUCAUGUGAUUUUCUUCUCUACUGGACUGGUUUGGUUGGUUGGCAUGGCUGGUGUUGUCAAUUUGUUCAUUGUGCUGCUUGCAUCAAUUGUUAAUGCUAUGUUGUCUUGUGGGUGCGUUUUGUUGUUUCUGCCUUGUUAAUAUGUCUGCUAGGAUAUCUAGUUUUGUAGCUGAUUUUUUUUUGUAGUUUUCCUAUGUUUGAGGUGCUUAGUUUAUUUUUUGUGCGUUUUGUUGUAGUUGAUAAUGAAGAUUAGCAGAUGUUUUUUUUUGUUUUGUUUAAUCAGCAGCUAUUUAAUAUGGAUAAGAGUUGGAUUACAAAGAAUAGGGCGAGUCCUGAAUAGUUGCAAGGGAUAAAAUUUUUUCUUGAAUUUGCUUCAAUGAAUGGUAGUGAUAGUAAUGGAAAUAUACUAUGUCCUUGUGUUAAGUGUCAAAAUUCAUUUUGGUGGGAUCCUCAAGAGGUUGAAUAUGGUAAUCAAGUGACUAUGAUCUCUUCAUUAAUGUUGCAAAUUUGACUUCCUUAAGAUUUGAUCAAUUUCAAAAUCUCCUUUGUCAAAUCCCAUAAUUUGGCUCCAUGUUAUUAGAAUUUUCAGUCCAACACAAAUCAAUAAUAUUAUCCACUUUGGGUUGUCUGGUUCCCAUGGAUGCAUUGCACCCGCACUGCUUUACCUUUUCAAGAAGUCACACAUCCAAAUAGUGUUUCACAAAAGCACGCUUAACUACGGAGUUACUACGGAAUAUUUUCCUCCAAGUAAACACAUUG